UUUAGUGACACUAAAAUACCUUUUCUAGAGAGUUCUAAUAAUUCACACUUUUUAUGUAUUUGUUCAAUACAUAUUAUUUAUUUCCAUCACUAAUCAUUUAUGACCCCAAAAUAAUAAUGAUUUAUAUCCAAUUGAGAAUAAAAUUAUUAUUUUGAGUUGUAAUAAAAUGAAUUUUUGAUAUUUUUCAUUACUAAUUUUAAGCUUUAAAUAAUCGAUGUGUUUGUAAACUUUUUUUACGUUUACAUGUAAAUUUUGUAAAAGUAAAAGGAUAAAUUAUAAAA
rnacentral:lncRNA from 1 species